UACGGAGGAUCCGAGCGUUAUCCGGAUUUAUUGGGUUUAAAGGGUGCGCAGGCGGGAGAUUAAGUCGGCGGUGAAAUUUUGCAGCUCAACUGUAAAAGUGCCUUCGAAACUGGUUUCCUUGAGUGUAGAUGAAGUAGGCGGAAUUUGUGGUGUAGCGGUGAAAUGCUUAGAUAUCACGAGGAACUCCGAUUGCGCAGGCAGCUUACUAAACUACUACUGACGCUCAUGCACGAAGGCGUGGGGAUCAAACAGGAUUAGAUACCCCCGUAGU
rnacentral:rRNA from 1 species